AAGAAAGUGGCAGAGUGGUUUUGUGAUUGGCUUGAAACCAGUUCACGGGGGUUCGAUUCCCUCCUUUCUCG
rnacentral:tRNA from 1 species